AAUCAUCAGAUCUAAGAAAGUCACAUCCAGACCUGUAGAGAGAAAUCUGAAAGCGUGGAGAGUUAGUAGAGUGAAUAAAGGAACUCACUGCCACCAUCGCCAUUGCAAGUCCAUCGCCGCAACUAUGAGUAUGCUACCGUCACACGCAUCGUCGUUGCGAGCUCAGAGGAGGUGAGCUUGUAGGGAGAGCUACUUUCACCAUCUUUGAUGUUGCAAUAUAGGGGUUGGUUGAGUUUGAGAACUCUGCUACGUUGAGAGAGAGAGAGAGAAGGAGGGUUGGGUUUCCCAGGCUAUCUUUUGGGUUUCCAAGUCUGAGAAGUUGAAGGUAUUUUAAAAUGGUUUUUGGUUCAAGCUUCCUACCCAUGACCGACCGUGAACUUGUUAAAACAAUAGAUUUACACCCACAACCGAACCACAGCACAUGCAAAACUGUCCGUAGCUCGUCGGGUGGGUUCGGAUUGGACGGUUUGCCGGGUCUCCAAGUUAAAGAAGAACAAGUGCAACUUCAAAUGCAAUGGUAAAACCUUAGAAUGGCAGUGCUGCUCCUAAGUCACGCAUUCCUCAAAUGGUUGCUCAAACACUGGGUUUUGGCCAAAACCUAC